rnacentral:lncRNA from 1 species
GAGGGGCACGGGGACAGAGAUCUGGAGUGGGAGACAUAAACAGCGACGGAAAGCAGGAAAUAACAUAAAAAAUGAGGAAGGAGAGGGAAAAGGACAGAGGAGAGUGUGGGGUCAGGUGUGAGGAACAGAGGAGGAGAGUAGGCAACAGGAGUGAGAGUGGGAGGAAAUUAGGAGUGGAGGCGCCGGAGGAGGUGAGGAGUGACUAAGGUGACAAGAAGGCAGUGGGUGAACGAGGGAGGAGGCGGUAAAGUGUCCGUGGUGUGUGUGUGUGUGUGUGCGUGGGGGUUGAGCUGAGAAUAGGGAGGUUUAGGAGGCUGGUGUUGGAGUAUGUAAGUGUGUGUUUGAAAAGAGGAGAGUGGAGGAUUUGACAGAGCGAUGUACGUCGAAGGGAACAUCAGCGCUGUUAUUUCUGCUUCACUCUCCUGUCAUGAGUUUGUAUCGCUGCUGCAGCAAUUAUCUCCACCACAGUGUGUGUGUGUGUGUGUAUAAGUGUGUAUAAGUGUGUGUGUGUGCAUUUAAAUUAAUUGGGAGUGCAAAAAUGAGGAAGGAGGAAAGAGUUGGGAUGCUGUUUGCGUGUUUUCUAUCUCCUCAAUUCAAUCAAGCUGCUGCUGAUUGGACGUGUCCGUUUUCGGCGCGUUUCUCUCUCUUUUUUUGGACGGGUGUGCGGUUCUCAUGCUGCGCUCGGUAAUGCAAUCCAAAUUCGUAAGUAGGUGUGUACUUCACUUUGAAUGUGACUUUUCACAACUCAAUCUGAAUGUGUAUUUACGAGCGGGGUGCCAGACCGAGUCAACUAGCCCCCCCCCCUCAGACCGAUCUGAUUACUCUCUUUGCAUGCACUCACUCUCCUCCUCUUCCCUCCCAUGUUUCUUCCUCUCCUCUCCAAGAUAACACUUUGAAUGUGUGUGUGUGUGUUUGUAAGGGUGUCCCCAAUAGUGUAUGUGUGUGUGUUUAGGUAAUAGUAGACUAAGCCGAGCAGUUUUGAUGCCCCAGUGUGCCCCAGUGAUUCACCUUCCCUCCUCCAGGUUUCCACCUGGUCACUGGAGCAGUGCACAGAUACGACCUGACACCUGUCCGCUUGGAUGGCCAGCAACAGGCCUCACACGCAUACACACCUACACAUGUGCUGUACGCAUCCAUGCAUAAACACACAUUCGUGCCAGAGCCCUCAUUUGUACACAUUCAAAUGCCUUCACGCUCUUGCACAAGCUGAAGGAUGAAGGCCCCGGUGUUACGUGCGCACACAAGGACAUAUGCAUGCAACCAUAAAGUCAAGAGACACACUCCCUCGCUGCAUUCCUCAUUCGUAAGCUUCGACAUGCACUAAAUCCUGACGUUGAGCUCCCAGUGCCUCGGAAGCUGACAAACCCACAUGUGCUCGGUUAAAGAGCGGUACUAUGAUGUGUGUAAAUAUGUCACAGUUUAUCAUGCGUUAUUGUCGUUAGAAAAACAAGGCUUUCUGCGAAUCCACACGACGAAAAAGUUCAAAUCAUGUUUAUGUAGAUGUCUCUGCCGAGGCAAAAUCCGGAGUUAUCUCGCUGGAUUUUUUGUGAGUCGUGAAUAUAUUUAGAAUUACAAUAAGGGCUCAAAGAAAUAUAUAACAACUUCUCUCUGUGUCAUGAAACUUUGGAGUGAAGAUAUGUAAAUUGUAUUUUUUUUUUUUAAAUUUUAUUUUAUAUAACAUACAAACAAAACAAAACAAAACAAAAACACAAAAAUAGUGAUGGUGGGUACAUAUACAGACAAGACAGAAACAAAAACAGUUAACAGUAUCUUAAAGUAGUGUGUGUAUGCAUGUGAAUGUGUGCACGUGUGUGUAUGAAGCUUUUGUUUCACCCCCCCCCCCAUUGCUCCAAACCCCCUUCUAAAUCAAGGAGACCCCUGACCGACCAGCAUAAAAGCUGUAAGCUCAAGUGGAGAGCAGGUCCGGCAGGAUGUCCGAUGUCAUGCAUGGGGGCAGAUGCAAAUGUGUUGAUGUGUUUGUGCUGAUUAUGUGGAUGUGAGUAAGAUGGGGCCAGAUUUUAUGGAUGCUGUGGUUUGGGGGGUCCGGCGAUCGUUGAAAGUCAGUUUAUUAAUAAAUGUAGACCAGGUUUUGUUAAAGCAAGGUAAAUUGUAUUUUAAUAACAUCCUGUUCGCCGUUCUUGUGGCUCUAAGGGCGCGUUCACACCACCCACGUUUAGUGCGGUUAAACCGAACCCUGGAACGUUUACCCCCCCUUGGUGCAGUUCGUGAACACUGACCUCGAACUCUGGUCCGGACCAAAUAAACGAACUCUGGUCUGCCUGAAGAGGUGGUCUCGGACCUCUAUCAAGUGAACUCUGGAGCGGUCCAUUUCUGGUGUGAACGUCAUCCACACCAAUCACAGGAAAAGCACCUAGGCUAGGCUUUUUGUAAUGCUGGUUGUGAAAUGAAUGUUGUUCGCUCACCUCACUUGUCCCGAUUGACACUAGAGAGAAAACGCAUCGUGGUAGACUCUCAUUAAUGCCUGUCGCCGUCUUGUCUUUGUCCGUCUGUUGUUUGGCAAAAUCAGCCUACGAUGCUCCAUGACAGGCAAAGACAGCAGAGCGGGGUUUGUAUUCAAGCAUAAACUGAUAACCAAUAACCGAACGAUAUUCGCGGUCACGUGACUUCCGGUUCCGUUUUCUGGAGCGAUUGAUUUUGUCCUUUGUGAACGCAAACCGGACCAGUUAAACAAUCAAAACAAAUGUAUCCUCUUGCCUUGGAUUCGAAUCAGGAAACUGACCUUUAGGUGUGAACACGACCUUAGAGGCUGUUCAUUGCGCUAAAAGCUAAUAUAACAAACGUAAUUGUCCAAGGUGAUCACUCUAGGUUGAUACCAUCUUGCAUCAUUGUUUCCCAAGGUCAAGAAUCAACCAACCUACCAUCUUCCUCCAUUGUUCCUUGUUUUUUUAACGUCCCACAGAAACACUUUUGCUCUAAUCAAACUCGACUGGAACUCUCUCGCCAUAAGACCUGACUGUCACCGUCGAUGAGCUCGGUGCAGGAAAGAUAAAACCGGACACACAUCCCUGAGAAGCCGACAGACUUUUACCUGCGUUGAAGUGCUCUCCACUUAAAGCCCCUCUGUCCAGCGAACAGAACCCACCGCCUACAAUGAGCAUCUCCUGCAGCUGAAGUAUUGCGACGUGCGUGUGAGUGCUCCUGAGGUUAACAAGCUUGAGUCAAUGUGAACUCGACUGUUUUGAGUGGUUUGGACUUGACAAAGGUGGACUGGAGUAAAGGCUCUAUGUGUGUCUUUAUAUUUCAAUAUUGUUUGUUAGGAAUAAGACUUAGGAAAGCAGUCAUAACAAGUUAAAAAGUUAUCUAACUGGGCAGAUUCAUGGACAGAAGCACUGUGAUGGAUUCUGAACAUGGCUUUACUGAGCUCAAAGAUGACAGCUGCCAUAUUUAAAAGCUGAGUCAAAUCAUGUUCUCAGUUACCCCAAAAUUAUGCCUGAAUCUUUGCAGCUACACAAUCCAAACUAUUUUAAUAAUUUCAAACCAUUUCUUUUAAAUGGUUUACCAAAACAUUUUUUUAGAGAUUUUUUUUUUUUUUUUACCACUACAUAAAUAUGUUUAAAUACUGCUGUAAAAUGAGCUUUUGAGUAUGGAUGGAUGGAUGCUUGUUUAGAUGAAUAGAAGAAUUGAUUGAUGGAUGACUGUUAGUGUGGAUGGAUUGAUGAAUGGAUAGAUAUUUAGAUGGAUGGAUGGAUGGAUUGAUCGAUACAUGUUAAGAUGGAUGGAUGGAUGGAUGGAUGCAUGUUUAGACGAUGGAUGAAUGAAUGGAUAAAUGGAUUAUUGUUUAGAUGGAUGGAUGGAUGGAUGUUAAGAUAGAUAGAUGGAUGGAUGGAUGGAUGGAUCAAUGCAUGUUAAGAUGGAUGGAUGUAUACAUGUUAGGAUGGAUGGAUGGAUGGAUGGAUGCAUGUUAAAAUAGAUGGAUGAAUGAUGGAUACAUGUUGGGAUGGAUGGUUGGAUGGAUGGAUCGAUCAAU